rnacentral:lncRNA from 1 species
GACUCUAAAUGAAAUAUAUUAUUUUACAGAAUUUUUGGCAAUUUUUCUGAAGCCAUUUGAUAUUUUAAAUGCUUUCAAUAGAAUUUCGGGUGAAUUAUAGAUCCUCAAAAGUAUUUUAUAAUCUUUUUCUUUUAUCUUUUUCUUUUUCUCUGAAAAUACGCUUUCUCCGCAGGAAAGCGUAUUCUCGGGGGAAUACGGUUUCAGUCUAUUCUCGCUCUCUCUGACAGGUGGGGCCCACCUGUCAUCCCUCACCUCGGCCGCCCGCCCACGGCCGCGCC